GGUUUCUCCCUCCCACACUGCUAUCGAUUUCCUGUUUCCCAUCAUUCCUCCAAAAAGCUCCUUAAACGCUUCGUCCUGCCCAGUGAAAACACGGACGCAAAGGAUGGAAGUGCCCAGCAGGAAAUGCUGGGGCCCGCCUGGCUCAGCAGCUCACAGUGAGUUGGGGGAGACGGAAAUGGAAGUGUAACUCGUGUUCUGGAGGCUGGCAAGUCCGAGGUCAAGGUUCUGGCAGAUUUAAUUCCUGGUGAGAGCUGUCUUCCUGGCCUGCAGGUGAGCAUCUCCCUGCUGGGUCCUCAGAGGGCAGAGAGAGAAAGAAUCCUGGAUCUUAGAAGCCACAGAGGUUAAUGAGAGUUCGUUCCAUCAAGAUGAAACAAAGCAGAGGACAAGCCGUGUAAAUAUGUCUUAGGUACUUUCCUAGAAAAAUAUUUCGUUUUCCGGUUCCACUGGAAAAAUAAGCA